GUCUAUGGCUGUGCCACCCUGAAUGUGCCUGAUCUCAUGAAGCUAAGCAGGGUUAUGCCUGGUUUGUACUUGGAUGGACACCACCUAGACAUACUGGGUGCUAAAGUCU
ensembl:rRNA 5S_rRNA 5S ribosomal RNA